UGUCAUGAAAGCACUUUUGCACAUCUGUCAGGCUAAAAACAAUUGACGUCUCAGAGCAUACACACAUCAAAUAGGGUUACAAAAGCGACUUUUAAAAGUCAGAGCCGGCCCUGGCCCAGGGCUACCAGGGCCACAGCCCGGGGCCCAAAAAACAAUGGGGCACAAAUUUUUCUUAGUCUAUAUAUAUAUAUAUAUAUAUCUGAAAAAGGGCAACAAAAAAAUGUAAAAAUAUAAAAAAUAUAAAAAAAUAAAGAAGAAGAAACUAAAAGACGCUCAACAUUAAGUCAUGCGUUGGAAACCAAA
rnacentral:lncRNA from 1 species